AUGAUCCUGCUGAAUAAUUGCCAGAUGCUGCUGGCCCUGUACGAAUCCCUGGCCGUGAGCAUUCCUGAGUCCCUGAAGAUAUGGCUGUGUGUAUCACAUCAAUCAUAGGAACCCCUUCAACAUGGAGGUGCUGGUGGACUCCUGGCCCGAGUAUCAGAUAGUUAUUAUCCAACCACCAAAACAGGAUAUGACUGACAACAUGGAUUCUUACACAAAUGUAUAUCAUAUAUUCUCCAAAGCUCCUCAAAAAUCACAAGAAGUUUUGAAAAAUUGUGAAAUCAUAAACUGGAAACAGAUACUCCCUUGGAGGAGUCUUCAAGAAAGUUUAGGUGAGGGGAUAAGAGCAGCUGCAUUUUCAAAGUCAGUGAAGGUAGAGCAUUCAAGAGCAUUCCUCUGUAUUAUGGAAGAUAUCCUGAAGCUCAAUGCCUGCAAUAAAAGCAAGCUUGGAAGUAGGGAUGAGAUAGGCCACCCAGAUGAUGAAUUUUAAAACUCCCAAUUUUAAAUAUGCCAAGCUGGGUGUCUCUUAUUCUGGGCUGGUAAAUGACAACUGGAGGCGAGGGAAGAAUGAGAGGAGCCUUCCUUACAUCAAGCGCUGCAUAGGAGCCAUGCCAGCAGCCUGUAUCCUGGGUCCACAGGGGGCCCUGGUCUCAUGGAUAACCAUGGACUCUUCUUGUGAAGUAGGAAUGGCCUACAGCAUGAAAAAAUACCGAAGGAGAGGCAACAUAACAUAGGUGAACAUGAGAUUCACGAAAUAUCUGCGUCAUAAGAAUAUUCCAUUUUACCUCUCUGUGCUGGAGGUAAAUAAAGGCACCCACACAUUUCUGGUGAAGGUCGGUUCCUUUGUGGCCACCUGUGAGUGGCACCAAUGGACCUGCUACCCACAGAAUCUAGUUCCAUUUUAG
rnacentral:lncRNA from 1 species